UACGAAGAGAACUAGCGUUGUUCGGAAUCACUGGGCGUAAAGCGCACGUAGGCGGAUUUGUCAGUCAGGGGUGAAAUCCCGGGGCUCAACCUCGGAACUGCCUUUGAUACAGCAAGUCUUGAGUUCGAGAGAGGUGGGUGGAAUUCCUAGUGUAGAGGUGAAAUUCGUAGAUAUUAGGAAGAACACCGGUGGCGAAGGCGGCCCACUGGCUCGAUACUGACGCUGAGGUGCGAAAGCGUGGGUAGCAAACAUG
rnacentral:rRNA from 1 species